GGAUGCGAUCAUACCAGUACCUAAAGCACCGGAUGCCAUCAGAAUUUCGAAGUUAAGCAUGCUUGUGCGAGAGUAGUGCUAGGAUGGAUAACCUCUAGAAAGUCCUCGUGUCGCAUUUC
rfam:Triticum urartu cultivar G1812 contig961184, whole genome shotgun sequence.